AUACGGAGGGUGCGAGCGUUAAUCGGAAUUACUGGGCGUAAAGGGUGCGUAGGCGGCUUGAUAAGUCGGAUGUGAAAGCCCUGGGCUCAACCUGGGAACUGCAUUCGAUGCUGUCAGACUAGAAUAUGGUAGAGGGUAGUGGAAUUCCUGGUGUAGCGGUGAAAUGCGUAGAUAUCAGGAGGAACAUCAGUGGCGAAGGCGGCUACCUGGACCAAUAUUGACGCUGAGGUGCGAAAGCGUGGGGAGCAAACAGGAUUAGAUACCCUAGUAGUCC
rnacentral:rRNA from 1 species